AGGGUGAAAGAUGGCUUCGGCUAUCACUAGGGGAUGGGCCCGCGGCGCAUUAGCUAGUUGGUAAGGUAACGGCUUACCAAGGCGACGAUGCGUAGCCGACCUGAGAGGGUGAUCGGCCACACUGGGACUGAGACACGGCCCAGACUCCUACGGGAGGCAGCAGUAGGGAAUCUUCCGCAAUGGACGAAAGUCUGACGGAGCAACGCCGCGU
rnacentral:rRNA from 1 species